UACGAAGGGAGCUAGCGUUGUUCGGAAUCACUGGGCGUAAAGCGCACGUAGGCGGAUGUGUCAGUCAGGGGUGAAAUCCCGGAGCUCAACUUCGGAACUGCCUUUGAUACAGCACGUCUUGAGUCCGGAAGAGGUGGGUGGAAUUCCUAGUGUAGAGGUGAAAUUCGUAGAUAUUAGGAAGAACACCGGUGGCGAAGGCGGCCCACUGGUCCGGUACUGACGCUGAGGCGCGAAAGCGUGGGGAGCAAACAGG
rnacentral:rRNA from 1 species